AUCUAUGGCUGUACCACCCUGAACACGUCCAAUCUUGUUUGAUCUUGGAAGCUAAGCAGGGUUGGGCCUGGUUAGUACUUGGAUGGAAGAAAUGAGAUAUUUUAUGUA
rnacentral:rRNA from 1 species